GUGCUUGCUUCAGCAGCACAUAUGCUAAAAUUGGAAUGAUACAGAGAAGAUUAGCAUGGCCCCUGCACAAAGAUGACACUCACAUUUGUGAAGCGUUCCAUAAUUUU
rnacentral:snRNA from 1 species